AACGAACGCUGGCGGCGUGGAUAAGACAUGCAAGUCGAGCGGGAACUUUCGCUGUAGCAAUACAGUGAAAGUUCUAGCGGCGAACGGGUGCGUAACACGUGGACAAUCUGCCUUAAAGUGGGGGAUAGCUCGGCGAAAGCCGAAUUAAUACCGCAUGUGAUGAGAGACGACAUCGUCUUGAAAUCAAAGCCGGGGCAACCUGGCGCUUUUGAGGAGUCCGCGGCCAUCAGCUUGUUGGUGAGGUAACGGCUCACCAAGGCUAUGACGGGUAGCUGGUCUGAGAGGACGACCAGUCACACUGGAACUGAGACA
rnacentral:rRNA from 1 species